UCCAGCCGACUGCGUGGAGGAGAUCCCGGCCAAGACCUCCGACGAGAGGAGCUAUUCCCGGGCGGAUCGUGCCGACAGACGGAAGCUCUUCAGACAUUACACUGUGGGCUCCUACGACAGCUUCGAUGCUUCCAGGUGAGCCGGUCGUCCUUGUGGGAGCAUGAAUAUGAAUGAGGUUCUGUCGGAUCACACCGGGUCGGCGGACCAACAUCAUCAUUCGUGCAGCGGUUCUAAACCCCGGCAUCGAAGUUCUGACCUUCCUCCGUCUGUCCAGGGCGGAGAGAGAGAGAGAGAGAUGGAGCUGCGGAGGAUGAAGUGCAGGCAGAUUUACUCCAACUUGUAAAAACUGCUUAAAUAAGAAAUGAGCGUUCUGACAACUGAAUGAACGUUUAACGAUGAUUUCACGGCUGUAGCUGAUAUUUAAUCAUUUCCAUUGAUUCAUCUCUUUUUAGAUUAUAAAUGAAUGUAUGAAGGUUGUGAAUCACAUGUUCUGACAGCUCUGGGUUCGUCCCUCUGACCUCUGAGCUUUAAUAAGAAGAGUCAGAUUCAGAGACGGAACACAAACACAAAACCUUGAUUCAUUUCCACGUCCAAGAAGUGACAAAACAUGAAAUAAAGUGAAACUUGAGUUCAGGUUUGAAGCUCUGGAGUUUGUUCCUUAUUUUCCCACCACACACUUGUGAUUAAAUAUACUUCAGAGGUUGAUAAUGUUCCUUUUGAUUCUGCUGUAUUGAUCAGACAGCUGGUUUCAUCAUUAUUUGUCACAUUCAGUCUUUAUUACUGUGAUGCAUUGUUAAAGAUUAAAGAUUGAACAGCCAAACUGUAUAAAAAGCAUUUUAAACUCAUGUAGU